ACUAAGGUUUCUACAACGGAUCUCUUGGCUCUCGCAUCGAUGAAGAACGCAGCGAAAUGCGAUAAGUAAUGUGAAUUGCAGAAUUCAGUGAAUCAUCGAAUCUUUGAACGCACCUUGCGCUCCUUGGUAUUCCUUGGAGCAUGCCUGUUUGAGUAUCAUGAAA
rnacentral:rRNA from 1 species